UGAGGAGCGAAAGGGUGGGGAGCAAACAGGCUUAGAUACCCUGGUAGUCCACCCCGUAAACGUUGGGAACUAGUUGUGGGGUCCAUUCCACGGAUUCCGUGACGCAGCUAACGCAUUAAGUUCCCCGCCUGGGGAGUACGGCCGCAAGGCUAAAACUCAAAGGAAUUGACGGGGACCCGCACAAGCGGCGGAGCAUGCGGAUUAAUUCGAUGCAACGCGAAGAACCUUACCAAGGCUUGACAUAUACGAGAACGGGCCAGAAAUGGUCAACUCUUUGGACACUCGUAAACAGGUGGUGCAUGGUUGUCGUCAGCUCGUGUCGUGAGAUGUUGGGUUAAGUCCCGCAACGAGCGCAACCCUCGUUCUAUGUUGCCAGCACGUAAUGGUGGGAACUCAUGGGAUACUGCCGGGGUCAACUCGGAGGAAGGUGGGGAUGACGUCAAAUCAUCAUGCCCCUUAUGUCUUGGGCUUUACGCAUGCUACAAUGGCCGGUACAAAGGGCUGCAAUACCGCGAGGUGGAGCGAAUCCCAAAAAGCCGGUCCCAGUUCGGAUUGAGGUCUGCAACUCGACCUCAUGAAGUCGGAGUCGCUAGUAAUCGCAGAUCAGCAACGCUGCGGUGAAUACGUUCCCGGGUCUUGUACACACCGCCCGUCAAGUCAUGAAAGUCGGUAACACCUGAAGCCGGUGGCCUAACCCUUGUGGAGGGAGCCGUCGAAGGUGGGAUCGGUAAUUAGGACUAAGUCGUAACAAGGUAGCCGU
rnacentral:rRNA from 1 species